rnacentral:rRNA from 1 species
GACGAACGCUGGCGGCGUGCUUAACACAUGCAAGUCGAGCGGUAAGGCCCUUUCGGGGGUACGACGAGCGGCGAACGGGUGAGUAACACGUGGGUGACCUGCCCUUACGCUCUGGGAUAAGCCUGGGAAACUGGGUCUAAUACCGGAUAUGACUCCAUGACGCAUGUUGUGGGGUGGAAAGCCUUGUGCGGCUAGGGAUGGGCCCGCGGCCUAUCAGCUUGUUGGUGGGGUGAUGGCCACCAAGGCGACGACGGGUAGCCGGCCUGAGAGGGCGACCGGCCACACUGGGACUGAGACACGGCCCAGACUCCUACGGGAGGCAGCAGUGGGGAAUCUUGCGCAAUGGGCGAAAGCCUGACGCAGCGACGCCGCGUGGGGA